rnacentral:rRNA from 1 species
UACGAAGGGGGCUAGCGUUGCUCGGAAUCACUGGGCGGAAAGGGUGCGUAGGCGGGGCUUUAAGUCAGGGGGGAAAUCCUGGAGCUCAACUCCAGAACUGCCUUUGAUACUGAAGAUCUUGAGUUCGGGAGAGGUGAGUGGAACUGCGAGUGUAGAGGUGAAAUUCGUAGAUAUUCGCAAGAACACCAGUGGCGAAGGCGGCUCACUGGCCCGAUACUGACGCUGAGGCACGAAAGCGUGGGGAGCAAACAGG